GACGAGGUGGCCGAGAGGUUAAGGCGAUGGACUGCUAAUCCGUUGGGGUCUCCCCGCGUGCUCGAGAUCGAAUCUCAUCCUCGUCG